CUUAACGAUGAGGUGAAGCACAUAGUCAAGACCAGACACAUGGAAACACAGGGAGACUUCACUGUGCAGUUAAUGGACUUAAAAGAGAUCACACUGAUGCUGUUAAUCCUUCAAGCCCCCAAACAUUUCCAUGGCUUUGGUCUUGCUCAUCGGUCUGAUGUCAAUACUUUUGACAUCCACCUGCGGACUGAAUUUAACCAGCCCCUCUUCUGAAUACCAAGCAGUGCUAGGACACAACAUCAGCCUCGGAUGCCAUUUCACCCUUGCUUCUAUGGAUGUUGUUGACUUGGAGGUUGAGUGGACAGUCAACCGUUCAGAUGGUCAAGAGGAAGAGGAACACCUGAACACUGAGGACAUAAUACACCACUUUAUUGGUUUUGAAGGCCGAGUCCACUUUUCCUCUCCACAUCCCCAAGAUGGAGACGCUUCACUAACCAUUAAACGUGUUAAGAUCGUGGACAAAGGUACUCAGUAAUGUACAGUAAAAAAGCUUCGAGAAGUCCAAAACAGGCAGAUUAAGCUGAUGGUAAUGGAGGAGGGGGCUGUGCCAGUUUAUGAUUCUGAUGUUGGCACUGAGUCCGAUGUGGACUUAAAGCUGAGGAACAGGUCUUCACCAGUCACCACCUUCCCUGCAAACUACAGUUUGUUGACAUCCACCGAAACUUCUGCAAGCACUCAAGAUGACUUGUCUUCACAAGACAAUGCAAAAACCACCACAGGAGCUAUCACAGGAACCACCGCUGUAAUCACCACAGGAUCAAUCGCAGUGGCUGCUCCCAUUACUUUCAUUAUCAUUUCGGCAGGCAUAAUUUUCCGCUGCUGGAAACAAAAGAGACAGCAGAAGUCUGAUGAAGAAAAUGUCCCAGCUGAUGAAGCGAGGCGUGGUCAUACACAGUCAGAAAUGGGCAUGAUUGUAGACAAUAUAGAGAACACCUGUGGGAGAAGAUGGAACUUGAAGACAUAACCAAAACCCUUAUGGACAUUAAGGGGGAAGAUUCUACAGAAGAGGUACCUGAAACACAGAAUGUGGAUUAUGAGGUUUGUUGAAGGUUCCUUUGAGAAGGAUCCGGGACGUCUGGAGAACCCGAAGGAGACGGUGGGUCAGGUGGAGAUCAAGGCUCUGUCUCAGCUGUACAGAGACCUGGACUUCACCAUAGACAUCGACUUCAAAGCAGGGGACAAUAAGGGGAAAAAGAAGGAAGAGGAAGACGAAGAGUGGUGAUUUCUGAUGAAAUCCGGGCUACUGUCAUAGACCAUGUCCUUGUGCAUGGAAUGACAAUGAGGGAGGCCAAAGAGUGCAACCAAAAAUCAGUAGAUUCUCUGUGUCCACCAUAAUCUGGAGAUUUAGACAAGGAAACAGACCCCCUAUAUACUGCAUCCACGUUCAUCUUCCACUUCCAAAUCCAAACUUCCACGUCGUGGUGUGCUGCUGCUGCUGAUCUGGAGUGUGGAAACCCGCUAGCGAGGCUGCGCAUAUGCUACGGGCCUUAGCAAUAUCAUCUCCACUUGAUACGAACACCUUUACCUGAUACUAACACCUUUUUAAGCACACACGUGAGAUCAA